rnacentral:rRNA from 1 species
AUGGCCUUCCACACCGUUCUACCGAAGAUAGCCACUAGUUGGGUCAUCAACUUGUACCGCGCCGCCAGGAAGCUCGGCAGCAAUGGCGUCCCGAACUACCGUAACUCCUGCGCCACCAAGCCAUCCACCGGUGCCGCCUCCCUGUGCACUAUCCCGUCUGCCGGCGAUACGACGGUGGUGUGCGACUUCGACGGCGGGCUCCUGAGGUCCACCGCCCUCUUCCCGUACUUCAUGCUCAUGGCCUGCGAGGGUGGUAGCCUGAUCCGGGCGCUGCUCCUCCUCUGCUCCUUCCCCCUCGUAUGGAUCCUGGGCGAGCACACGGACGCCGGCGUCGGGGUCAUGGCGUUCGUCACCUUCGUCGGGAUCAGGCCAAGGGACACCGACCUCGUCGCUCGGGCCGUCUUGCCCAAGUUCUACAUAGAGAGGCUCAACGCGCACGUGUACGACCAACUGUGGCUGCCGGCGAGGAGGAAGGUGGCCCUGACGAGCGCGCCGAGGGUCAUGGCGGAGUGGUUCCUGAAGGAGUACAUGGCCGCGGACGUGGUGGUCGGGCGUGAACUUCAGAUGGUUAAAAUUAGGCACGGCUGCUACUACACCGGGAUACUGUGCAGGCCAGGGCCGGGCAUGAGGCAGAAGGCCCUGAGGGAGGUGCUCGGAGCUGACGGCGCCAUGGCCGACGUUGCCGUCGUCGGGACCUCAAACCCACUCAACCACCUCUUCAUCCCCUACUGCAAGAUUUCUGUUCCUCUAUUAGCACUCGCUCCAGAUGGGAACAUAAGUCGGACACAAGUUUUUAGCCUAUCUAUUUGA